UAAUAAAAUGAUUUUUAUUUAAAAAAAAAAUUAAAAUACCUUAUUUUUUUAAUUUUGGCAGCCUUACAUAGGUAGGGCUGAGGCAAUUGCCUUACCAUUGAAUUGGCCCAGACACAGAGACAAAAUGGGUGACGGGGAGGUUCUUGACGAGCUAUAUAUGCAAAUCAAGAGAGCGUAGAGAGUUACAGGUAUUACCUCGCUCUCCCUCACUUCCGUUCCUUUUUCGGCAACAAAUCCUACCCCGAACGGAGGACAAUGAAAGAGAAAAAUGGUGAAGUAAAUCUUCGACCUUUUCUCCUUUUUUUUCUUCUUGUUUUCUGUACUUUUUUUUUUCUUUGUUGGGGGAGGGGGGCUAGCUUUCCUUAAUUACGUUUCGUUCCUUGGCAAAGAAGCAAAACGGGUCAAAAGAGAUUUUCAUUUCGAUAUCGUGUGCCUAAAGUUGUUUUCGUUGAUGGGGGAAUUAGAAAUGAAGAUAUGAUUGAAGACUCUUAAGAUAUGGAGAAAGUUUUGUGCAGCAUGUUUAUAAACGUAGAAUUGCGAGGCUAGUGCAACAAUAUGCUAAGCUGCUGCUUGGGUGUUGAACAUAAGGAAUUAGUGAGCCUAGCUCCUUGAGGAACUAGGAACUUGAUUUUCCAGUUGCAUUAUCCAUAAUCUGAUGCAAUUGCACGAUAUAGUGUAGGAGGAGGUAUCGCACACUUUCCAAUGGAAGCAUCACAUUACACAAACAGACAGUGCACCAUUUCAUAAUAAAGUACGUGAAAUUUAAUUCAGAGCUAGUUUAACUGCCAAGAGUCGCAGGCAUUAGUUAGGUUCACCCUUUCAUUCAACAGACAAUAUUACAUAUUCAGUCA